UUCUCAAAGUAUCGGAGGUGAUGCGUCGCGCGCCUCCGGGGGCUCCCCCCGGGCGGUAGAGGUAACACUCUUACGCGCCACAUGUCUGAAUCCUUUUUUUACGAGCACCUUUCGUUCUCCUUCGGUGGGGCAACCUGCCGUUGGAACUUAUCAAAACCUUUUUUGCAUCUAGCAUUACCUGUUCAGAUACAAACAAUCGUUACAACUUUCAACAAUGGAUCUCUUGGCUCUGGCAUCGAUGAAGAACGCAGCGAAAUGCGAUAAGUAGUGUGAAUUGCAGAAUUCAGUGAAUCAUCGAAUCUUUGAACGCACAUUGCGCCCCUUGGUAUUCCAUGGGGCAUGCCUGUUCGAGCGUCAUCUACACCCUCAAGCUCUGCUUGGUGUUGGGCGUCUGUCCCGCCUCUGCGCGUGGACUCGCCCCAAAUUCAUUGGCAGCGGUCUUUGCCUCCUCUCGCGCAGCACAUUGCGCUUUAGAGGGGUGUGGGCCGCGUCCACGAAGCAACAUUAUCGUCUUUGACCUCGGAUCAGGUAGGGAUACCCGCUGAACUUAAGCAUAUCAAUAAGCGGAGGAAGACCUCGGAUCAGUUUGAAAGCAAAGGGC
rnacentral:rRNA from 1 species